GACAGCAGUCGCCGCGGUAAUACGUAGGGUGCAAGCGUUAAUCGGAAUUACUGGGCGUAAAGCGUGCGCAGGCGGUUAUAUAAGACAGAUGUGAAAUCCCCGGGCUCAACCUGGGAACUGCAUUUGUGACUGUAUAGCUAGAGUACGGCAGAGGGGGAUGGAAUUCCGCGUGUAGCAGUGAAAUGCGUAGAUAUGCGGAGGAACACCGAUGGCGAAGGCAAUCCCCUGGGCCUGUACUGACGCUCAUGCACGAAAGCGUGGGGAGCAAACAGGAUUAGAUACCCGUGUAGUCCCUGUCUCUUAUAC
rnacentral:rRNA from 1 species